UAAACCAGACAAAAAGACUUGUCACAAACCUUCACAAAAAAUCUACAUGUAGGAAUUCAGUAAUUAAAUUAAAGACCAGCUAUAGGUGACAGAGUAACACCAUAAGAGUAAAACAAUUUUGGAAAACUUUGACGCUUGGCUUGCUACAGCACAAUGAUUUGCAUAUAAAAAUCAUCUCACUGACAACUGAUGGACUGGAUAGCUGGCACAAUCAAGUUAAUAAAGCUAACAACAACAACAAAACAUCAUUCCUUUUUCAACUUCAUUCAAAAAUUUUUGUAAUGACUUAUAGUACACUAUUGUGGUUCAAGAAGGUUAGGCAACUUCUUCCGCAAAUAACAGUUUCAACAAAACAGAGAGAGACAAAACACAACCGCUACAAAGGCACAGAAAAAUGAGUAACCAGAAUUGAACAAGUAACAUUUAAAUGAAACUGGAAAGGUCAAAACAGAUGCUCAGGAGCUAUACUGGAUGGCGGAAUAAGAGCAUAAGUUAAUGUCUACAGUUUGCAAGGAAAACAAUGUGAAAGCAGACACUGAUAGUAAGAUCACUUUUAUUUGAAUCAGGAAAUGAGCAAUGUGAUAUGAAGUACAAUUAUUGUUCCUGAAUUGAUGAACCAGUGAAGGUUAAAUGUAUUGACCUAGAAGGAAACCCUACAUGAACUAUCAAAUCCUCUUUGCUUUUCAUAAUAAUGAGGUUGAGAUUUUUUCAAAACUAAAUUUCAAUUUCUCUUAAAGUUUAAAGAAGAUCAGCAACAACGACCAAAAUAGCAAAACCUAAGAAGUUCUCUUCACAGCAACAAAAUUGCUAUGGGAAGAAAUAUUCCAACCAAACUAAACUAAAUAUAUGUUAAGAGAGUCAAUUCGUUGUACAUGUGUAACUGUUGCAGGGAGUUUAGUGCAGUUAGGGUGGUGUAGGCAAAUUAAAACACUGCUAGGAAUUCUUGGAAUCAGCAACAAUCUUAGGUUUAUAUCAAAUACAGGAAGUCAGAUCAAAUAUGCAAGUUAAGAUUCCAUGAUCAGGAGAAAAGCAAUCAACUUUUUUACUUGGUGUACUCACUAACUACUGUAGUCAUAACUGCAAGUUAAACAGAUCUAUAACAUCUUUGCAUUUCAGCAGUUAAGAGGAAUUAAUUUGAAUAGCAGAUUAAACAAAGCCUGAUGCAGUGAUGAAAUGGUGGUGUAUCUUUCUCAUGCUCAUCUGGUGCAUGGAUAAUCUUUUAGCCAGAUGCUACUGCAUAAGCACAGAAAACAACACAGAAAGGAGGGUUAUCUUCAUGGAUUGCACUUGGUUUUGCAUGAAGCAUAAAAGUUCCCUCACUUAAAUCCAGUCUACAUUCUUGGAUAUAAAACUAAUAAACUGCACCUGGUUCACCACUAUAUAGCUAUCAACAGUAUUUUUACAGGCAGAGGGUUGUAAGGAAAAGUCAAAAGACCUUCAUUGAUAUAGGAAAAGUUAACCAAAAGGAAAAAAUCUCUGACACGAGGAAAAUCACUGAUACAAAUUCGAUGUUUGGUUGAUGACAGAAUAAAUGUUACUUCAGCUGGAAACCACAAAUCAAGUGUUUAUGAGCACAAAUGCAUAUAACAGCCUUUACCACACCACACUAUCUUGUAUCUGAAAUGGCCUGCAAUGAAAAAGUCAUCAUGUGUGGAUUUAAGCCACUGCAGGUCUUUAACAGACUUGUAAUCAUUAAUAGUCUGGUGAGAAUAUUCAUCUUUAACACAUGUGUCUGCAACAGCAACGACAAGUUGUAUCGCUGUGCAGUUAUUUUGCUAUUUUGCAGAUAAAACAAUGUUGAAAAUUCAUCAUACUUCUUAAAUAGUUGUGCAAAAAUUGUAGAGGCCACUGAUCUUAACUCACAUCAAGAUCUGAACGAGAGCAGUCAUAGCCGGAUGAAAUUUUACUGUUGAUCUUCAUGGCUUCAUUUUUAUCAAGCACAGAGAAACCUCAAAGGAAUGUCAGGGGGUCACAGUGGAGUAACAGUUGUUUCAAGUUACUCAGCAUAUGGGAUCAAGAAACCGCUUUUAGAGGCUCUUGGAAGUUCUGAAAUCUCCACAAGGCUUAUCUACAUCCUGUUAUGACUUAUUUAGGCUCACAAUCUUAGCUGAGAGAAAUGACGCAGAGAUCAGUGACAUACCAAGGUCGAAUUGCACAUUUUCGUGUAACCUGAAUUAUCUUGUGGUUACAAGAUGGCAACAUCAACCAUUACAACUCUUCUUGACCAAGAUAUGGAGACCAGAAAGGCAUUCAUGUAGAGAUGCACAGGUGCUGUUCAGACAACUACACUGAUUUGCAACAACAUUCAGAUGUUUUGAUGAGAUUGACUUAUCUGUUUACUGCUUAUGGACCUAUUGGAAACUAUGUUUAACGCAGGAUGGUAAACACAAGUUGAAGUGACAGUAACUUAUUUUAUCUUUAUUUCUUGCCAGUAUAUGUAAAUUUUACAAAUUCAAAUGAAAUUAUGAAGUUAUGAAAGCUGGAAAGCCUGUAUUUAACUAAUGUCACUCUUGAGAAAACUGGCUCAAUGCAAAGUAUACACCAAGACACUUCUUGUUUAACUUUUCCAAGAUCCUGAUGCAGGUAAAAUACCAAAAAUGUCAAUAACUGAUUUAUUUUUCAAGUCGGAACAGCCUGCAGGAAGUCAAAAAAGCUGCAAAGCAACUAGCUGUAACACAAUUACCACUCAAAAAAAUUGUAUUUUUAUGGUCUAAACAUAUGCACAGUUAAUAAAGUCAAAUUUCACCUGACAAAACAUCAUCUGCCAUGAAAAUGGCAAUAAAAUGUGUGAAAACCUUUUGAUGCGAUGAGUAAAUCUGCGUUGUCGAUGAACCGAGCGAUGCUGAAUAAGUGAAAUUGUCUAUAAAGUUAACUAGACAUACACUGCACUUGUUCAUUGAAUGAAAUCAACCAUGUAACGUAGAGGUGUUUGAAACACGCGCUUGUGGGCACCCGACUUACAAGUAGACCCAUGAAUUGGCCAUAAUUUUACAGUGGGUAUGUAUCAACGACUUAGUUUAGUUGCUGGCCAUGCUACCAAGUUAAAGGUUUCACAGCCGUAAAACUCUCGGGGAGGGUGGGGCUAACGCCAGUAAGCAUGUUCACUCACAUUAUCAUAUCUUCUAUUUGGCAUGAACAAAGGAUGAAUGGCAACAUUUUUCCAUGAAAUAAAA